AUUGAACGCUGGCGGCAGGCCUAACACAUGCAAGUCGAGCGCGAGGCGGACGGGUGAGUAAAGUGUGGGGAACUGCGUGAUGGGGGGGGGUAACUACUGGAAACGGGAGCUAAUACCGCGUACCCUAACAUAUGCCCAGAUGGGAUUUGCUAGUGGGGGGGGUAACGGCUCACCUAGGCGACGAUCCCUAGCUGGUCUGGGAGGAUGACCAGCCCAACUGGAACUGAGACACGGUCCAGACUCCUACGGGAGGCAGCAGUGGGGAAUAUUGCACAAUGGGCGCAAGCCUGAUGCAGCCAUGCCGCGUGUGUGAAGAAGGCCUUCGGGUUGUAAAGCACUUUCAGCGGGGAGGCGUUACCCGCAGAAGAAGCACCGGCUAACUCCGUGCCAGCAGCCGCGGUAAUUC
rnacentral:rRNA from 1 species